AUGAACAGGUUUACAUCCUCAUUCCUACUGCUAAUUGUCCCUGCAUAUGUCCUGUCCCAGGUUACUCUGAAAGAGUCUGGCCCUGGGAUAUUGCAGCCCUCCCAGACCCUCAGUCUAACUUGCUCUUUCUCUGGGUUUUCACUUAGCACUACUGGUAUGGGUGUGGGUUGGGUUCGUCAGCCUUUAGGGAAGGGUCUGGAAUGGCUGGCGGAUAUUUGGUGGGAUGAUGGUAAGUACUACAACCCAUCCCUGAAGAGCAGGCUCACAACUCCAAGGAUACCUCCAACAACCAGGUUUUCCUCAAGAUGACAAGUGUUGACCCUGCAGAUACUGCCACAUACUACUGUGCUAAGAUGGCACAUUGA